GUCCCUUCGUGAGCAUCUAAUAAAAUUGGAACGGUAUGGAUGAGAUUAGCAUGGCCCCUACACAGCACAAGGAUGAUACACACAAAUUGAAAAUUCAUAACUUGUUU